GUGCUCGCUUCGGCAGCACAUAUACUAAAUAUCUGGAAUGAUGCAGAGUAGAUUAGCAUGGCCCUGCGCAAGGAUGACAUGCAAAUCUGUGAAGCGUUCCAUAUUUUU
rnacentral:snRNA from 1 species